UGGGCCUGCCGCCAGGAGCGAGUCCCGAAGUCACUGCGCUAGCCACAGAAGUUUGGCUGCGGUGGGGCCGAUGGCUUGUGAGGUGUUGCGAGCCAAAGGCUCAGCCGUCCUUGCACUCGCU
rnacentral:SRP_RNA from 1 species